rnacentral:rRNA from 1 species
AGUGAAUAGAUACCCGGGUAGUCCUGGCCGUAAACGAUGUCCACUAGAUCGUGGUGGCUCUGACGCCAUCAUGGUCGAAGCAAAAGUGCUAAGUGGACCGCCUGGGAAGUACGGUCGCAAGGCUAAAACUCAAAGGAAUUGACGGGGGCUCACACAAGCGGUGGAGCAUGUGGUUCAAUUCGAAGCAACGCGCAGAACCUUACCUGGGCUUGACAUGCUAGGAUUAUCCCUAUGAAAGUAGGGUAGGCCCUGGGUACGAACUAGUACAGGUGCUGCAUGGCUGUCGUCAGCUCGUGUCGUGAGAUGUCGGGUUAAGUCCUUAACGAGCGAACCUUUGCCCUUAGUUACCAUCGGGUUAUGCCGGGGUACUCUAAGGGGUACUGCCGGUGUCAACCGGAGGAAGGUGGAGAUGACGUCAAGUCCUCAUGGCCUUU